rnacentral:rRNA from 2 species
UUUGGUGACUUAGCUACAGAGAUACACCUAGUUACAUACCGAACCUAGAAGUUAAGCCUGUAAACGUCGAAAAUACUAGUAAUUUGGGAAGAUAGAUAGUUGCCAAAU